UACAGAGGGUGCAAGCGUUAAUCGGAAUUACUGGGCGUAAAGGGUGUGUAGGUGGUUGUGUAAGUUAGAUGUGAAAUCCCCGGGCUCAACCUGGGAAUUGCGUUUAAAACUGCAUAGCUAGAGUAUUGUAGAGGAUAGUGGAAUUUCCAGUGUAGCGGUGAAAUGCGUAGAUAUUGGAAGGAACACCAGUGGCGAAGGCGACUAUCUGGGCAAAUACUGACACUGAGACACGAGAGCAUGGGGAGCAAACAGG
rnacentral:rRNA from 1 species